GAUGAACGCUGGCGGCGUGCCUAAUACAUGCAAGUCGAGCGAACGGACGAGAAGCUUGCUUCUCUGAUGUUAUCGGCGGACGGGUGAGUAACAUGUGGAUAACCUACCUAUAAGACUGGGAUAACUUCGGGAAACCGGAGCUACUACCGGAUAAUAUAUUGACCCGCAUGGUUCAAAAGUGAAAGACGCUCUUGCUGUCACUAAUAGAUGGAUCAGCGCUGCAUCAGCUAGUUGGGAAGGUAAAGGCUUACCAAGGCAACGAUGGAUACCCGACCUGAAGGGGAGAUUGCACAGCCGGGAAGUGAGACUGGGACGAGACUCCGACGGGGGGCAACGGUAGGGAAUCUUACGCGAGGGAGGAGAGGCUGAUGGAGCAAAGUGGCGGAAGUGAUGAAGGUCUUCGGAUCGUAGAGCUCUGUUAGUAGGGAAGAAGAAAUGUGCAAGUAACUGGGAAGAUCUUGACGGUACCGAGUCAGUAAGCUCCGGCUAACUACGUG
rnacentral:rRNA from 1 species